UGGCCGUAACUACAAUGACGGCGGUGAAUGACAGCCACAGUAGGUUGAACCGGUUGAACCGAAGAGAACCAUCGAGUAUAAGGCUGUAAAAUCAUUAACGUCAAUUAGAUUCAAAAUAAUAUCAUUUCAUCUAAAUGCAUUGCUUGUCGCUGUAUUGAUAAUUUUCGGUUGCUCAGUACUCAUGAAGCAUUUUCCUUUUUCCACAAAAGAUUUAUUUAUUUAUUCAUGCAUUGUUAUUUUUUUUAAUGGAUGGUAUGUGUAGCUCUACCACAUAACUUUUGUAAGGAGAUUUAUCAACAAGUGUGGCAAAUUUCUUAAUUUGGGUAUGCAUUUGUCACUCAUUUAGAAGGAUUACUUGUAUCUUUGUUCACAUAAAAAUCAACUGAGAAGCUUCAAUCGUUGUUUGGCUGACAUGGUCAUGUUGCAGAAAAAACUGUCAUGUAAACAGAUUAACUUGAAGUAUGUCUCCAAUAUUGUACAUAGAGAAAAGCUAAUUGAAAAGCCAAUGUGUAGUUGAAAAGAAACCACAAGCAUUUGAUGAUCAAGUUCUGGUGGCCGCCAUAUUCGGAAGACAUCUAGGGGAGAAAUCACCAACUGCUUAACUAUUUCAUGGCCAUGUCAGCUGUUUCAUUUCACCUGUCGUUGACUGAGAUGCUAGACGUACUUUUUUUUGCAAUUUCUCUGGUGAUAUCUUACAGUUUGAGGUCUGUCGUGUGAAUCUGAUGUGCUGUGUUGGCCAUGGGACCAUUCUCUGAUCAAAAAGGAAUACCACCAAUAUUGCUGUUACUGUAAAUAAAAUAUCUAGUACUAUUCAUGUGUCUGGUAAAUUAUUGUCUCCUGUGAAUGAAAGAAAGGGAAGGUAAAGAUGAAAUUGGUUAGAUUCUUUCUCUAUGCUACAUAAUUUUUGUUCUAUGAAGAGAAUAAUUUCUAUUGGUUUUCUGCUCAGUAAUUGUGUUAAACAUGCAAGCAGAAUAGUAAAUUAGUAAAAUUCAUUGGAAAUGUU